GCUUUCCCUCCAGAGUGGAUCCUGAGUACGGCGGAACACGUGAAAUUCCGUCGGAAUCCGGGAGGACCAUCUCCCAAGGCUAAAUACUCCCUAGUGACCGAUAGUGAACCAGUACCGUGAGGGAAAGGUGAAAAGCACCCCGGAAGGGGAGUGAAACAGUUCCUGAAACCGUGUGCCUACAAGUAGUUAGAGCCCGUUAAUGGGUGAUAGCGUGCCUUUUGUAGAAUGAACCGGCGAGUUACGAUUUGUUGCAAGGUUAAGCGGAAAAAGCGGAGCCGUAGCGAAAGCGAGUCUGAAUAGGGCGCAUAAGUAACAGGUCGUAGACCCGAAACCAGGUGAUCUACCCAUGUCCAGGAUGAAGGUAAGGUAAUACUUACUGGAGGUCCGAACCCACGCACGUUGAAAAGUGCGGGGAUGAGGUGUGGGUAGCGGAGAAAUUCCAAUCGAACUUGGAGAUAGCUGGUUCUCUCCGAAAUAGCUUUAGGGCUAGCCUCGAGGUAAAGAGUCAUGGAGGUAGAGCACUGUUUGGACUAGGGGCCCUUCUCGGGUUACCGAAUUCAGAUAAACUCCGAAUGCCAUGUACUUAUACUCGGGAGUCAGACUGCGAGUGAUAAGAUCCGUAGUCGAAAGGGAAACAGCCCAGACCACCAGUUAAGGUCCCCAAAUAUAUGUUAAGUGGAAAAGGAUGUGGGGUUGCUUAGACAACCAGGAUGUUGGCUUAGAAGCAGCCACCAUUGAAAGAGUGCGUAAUAGCUCACUGGUCGAGUGACCCCGCGCCGAAAAUGUACCGGGGCUAAACAUAUUACCGAAACUGUGGAUGAACCUCUUUAGAGGUUCGUGGUAGGAGAGCGUUCUAAGGGCGGUGAAGUCAGACCGGAAGGACUGGUGGAGCGCUUAGAAGUGAGAAUGCCGGUAUGAGUAGCGAAAGAAGGGUGAGAAUCCCUUCCACCGAAUAUCUAAGGUUUCCUGAGGAAGGCUCGUCCGCUCAGGGUUAGUCGGGACCUAAGCCGAGGCCGAUAGGCGUAGGCGAUGGACAACAGGUAGAGAUUCCUGUACCAGUGCUAAUUGUUUAACCGAUGGGGUGACACAGAAGGAUAGGGAAUCGCACGAAUGGAAAUGUGCGUCCAAGCAGUGAGUGUGAGAAGUAGGCAAAUCCGCUUCUCGCGAAG
rnacentral:rRNA from 1 species